GAAAUGCGAUAAGUACUGUGAAUUGCAGAAUUCAGUGAAUCAUCGAAUCUUUGAACGCACAUUGCGCCCUUUGGUAUUCCAAAGGGCAUGCCUGUUCGAGCGUCAUUUGUACCCUCAAGCUUUGCUUGGUGUUGGGCGUCUUGUCUCUAGCUUUGCUGGAGACUCGCCUUAAAGUAAUUGGCAGCCGGCCUACUGGUUUCGGAGCGCAGCACAAGUCGCACUCUCUAUCAGCAAAGGUCUAGCAUCCAUUAAGCCUUUUUUCAACUUUUGACCUCGGAUCAGGUAGGGAUACCCGCUGAACUUAAGC
rnacentral:misc_RNA from 1 species